GAUGAACGCUGGCGGCGUGCCUAAUACAUGCAAGUCGAGCGAACAGACGAGGAGCUUGCUCCUCUGACGUUAGCGGCGGACGGGUGAGUAACACGUGGAUAACCUACUUAUAAGACUGGGAUAACUUCGGGAAACCGGAGCUAAUACUGGAUAAUAUAUUGAACCGCAUGGUUCAAUAGUGAAAGACGGUUUUGCUGUCACUUAUAGAUGGAUCCGCGCCGCAUUAGCUAGUUGGUAAGGUAACGGCUUACCAAGGCAACGAUGCGUAGCCGACCUGAGAGGGUGAUCGGCCACACUGGAACUGAGACACGGUCCAGACUCCUACGGGAGGCAGCAGUGGGGAAUCUUCCACAAUGGGCGAAAGCCUGACGGAGCAACGCCGCGUGAGUGAUGAAGGUCUUCGGGUCGUAAAACUCUGUUAUUAGGGAAGAACAAAUGUGUGAGUAACUAUGCACGUCUUGACGGUACCUAAUCAGAAAGCCACGGCUAACUACGUG
rnacentral:rRNA from 1 species